rnacentral:lncRNA from 13 species
CCUGGGUUCGAGAAUCCACUAGCCUUGGCCUCCGAAAGUGCUGAGGUUACAGAUGUGAAACACCAUGCCCAGGCUUUUUUUUUUUUUUUUAAACUUAUUAGGUAUGGGGUCUCACUAUGUUGCCCAGGCUAGAGUGCUGUGGCUAUUCAUUCACAGGCAUAAUCAUGAUGCAAUACAGUAUCGAACUCCUUGGACUUCAAGAAUCCUCUUCAUUCUCCAGAGUAGCUGGGAUUACAGAUGAGUUGCAGAUGAGGCAAGGCACUGAUCACUACGUGGUGACUAACACCACCAUCACGCCUUCAGAUACUGCUAAUUUUGGAAUACCCAGAUUUGCUUCACAUCUUUUCAGAAAACCAGGGUUGUUGUCACCUGCGCUUGCUGGUAUUCUCACACUAAAUUACGUGGUCAAGAUGGAGUCUCACUCUGUCGCCCAUGCUGGAGUGCUGGCAAUCUCGGCUCAUUGCAACCUCUGCCUCCCGGGUUCAAGCAAUUCUUCUGCCUCAGCCUCCCAAGUAGCUGGGAUUACAGUGCUGCAGAUACCUGAGAUCUGGCUUGGGACAUCUCCUUACAGUUCCUCAAUUCCACUGAUGGAAGAGGGACAGAAACAGCAGAGGCCUCUUCAUGGCAAUGCCUAUUUACAUAACUUUCUCCUCACUCCAACCCUGGGGAAGCCCCUAGUGUGCCUUUUUUGAGAAUUUUGGCCGACAUUUAUCAUUCUUCAGCUGCCCUCUCCAUAAGAGAUUAUUUUGUGAAAGCUGCUUUAAAAUUAUUUAAAAUGGCUUAAUGCCUAAAGCACACAUUUGUCAUCUGCUAAAGGCUUUUAUAGUUUUACAUAACUUACUCAGUGUUUUUCACUUUGUACUUAUGACCCAAGGCAAUUAUUCCAAAGGACAUACUUUUAUUAAUUGAAAUAAUAAAAUACUUUAUAGGUGUUCCA